rnacentral:rRNA from 1 species
UGGCACCUACGGGAGGCAGCAGUCGGGAAUAUUGCGCAAUGGAGGAAACUCUGACGCAGUGACGCCGCGUAUAGGAAGAAGGUUUUCGGAUUGUAAACUAUUGUCGUUAGGGAAGAUAAAAGACUGUACCUAAGGAGGAAGCCCCGGCUAACUAUGUGCCAGCAGCCGCGGUAAUACAUAGGGGGCAAGCGUUAUCCGGAAUUAUUGGGUGUAAAGGGAGCGUAGACGGUUAAGUAAGUCUGGAGUGAAAGGCCGGGGCCCAACCCCGGGACUGCUCUGGAAACUAUUGAACUUGAGUGCAGGAG